GCGGCGCGAGGCCGCCGCUAACGAACGCCGCGACCGUUAACGGCCGCAACGGCCGCGCGGCUCCGCGGCGGCGGGGGAGGAAGGUGCCCAUGUCGGUGUUAACCGAGCGGCGAGGUCGUGGUUGAAAGGUCAGGGGAUUUCCAGGUGGAUGCCUCUGCCGAAACAUGCUGCAUCCUUCAGAGGUCCCGUUUGAGAUUCCGCUGGAAUCGCAGCAGCAGCUACUGAUGAGCACUUUCCUUAAUUACAUAUUUUUAUCACAAGAGAUACAACACUACAGAAAGACUGGAUGGCUGCUGAGACCAAGCCAGGCAUUGACAGAUUCUGGAAGAGAACCCAGAUCACUUGAAUUGCAGGUAGCCUGGGCUCCAGACAUGGGUACCUGUUUUAGAAGCUUGGUGGUGGUGGUGCGAAGACCUUCUGAAUGGACUACAAUACGACUACAAACGAGUGUUUUGUAAAAAUCAUUCCUUCCUAGGGAUGGACUUUCAGACCAAACACCUGAAAUGAUGCAAUUCUUGCAGACACUCUUCUUAGCAAACCACCAAGUCUAGGAGUGAGACCCCAGUGUGUGACAUAUGCUGAGAAUAAGAAGAAAAUUAAUAAGCAGUAAUAUGAUUUUCAGGCAGCUGAGUUACAUGUUAUCAACAACAUGCCAGGUAAAAAUAAUAUCAUUAUUUUUAUACAUUUCCUUAUUUUAUGGCUGUUUAAAACAUUCAGCUCCAGUUUUCCCACCAUGAAUAAGCUUCUCUUUUAGCUUUUUUUAACGUAAGAUACAAAAUCUAAAAAAUUAGAAGAUAUAUUGAUAGAUGCUCAUAUGCAAGUGUUGCCCUCAAAGACACACAGCAGAGCCUGGAACAUAGUCCUGAACUCUCUCUGCACAGCCGUGCUAGGAUGCAACAGAGAUGCAACCACUCUCUCUUGUUAAAAAAUAUGUAAGCACCAUAUGAAAGCAAAAGGAAGAAUGGUGGUAAGUAGAGGUGCUCAGGAAAUGGAAAAUUCUUUUGCAAUAUCAGAGUAAGAAAUGCCCUAAACUGGGUUGGGUAGUCCAAAGCUCAUUUUUAUUUCAUGGAACUGAAAUUCUACAACAUUUUGUUUUUGUGCUUCAGAAUCAGAAAAGUCUCCCUGCCAGCAAAACAAAUGGCUGUGUAUGGGCAAAAUUGGGCAAUCAUACAUUUUGGAGACCUUCUGGCCUCCUAGGUACCCUUGAAAAUUUCUUUGGCAAGGAGAUGUCCUUGUGGGGGAAAAAUUGGGGUCAUUUUGUCAAGUUGUAUUUUGUGUUGCCAAAGAGAGGGGAAUAUACUGGAAUACCUCUGAUAAUUGCCAGUUGUUGCCUUGCAAAAUAACAGUAAUACAUGACCAUAAAUGAAUAAGGAGUUAGAGCUUGGUGCCACAGUCACCACCUUUACCCUUUACAGAGAGUAGCAGGAGACACAAAAUUAUGUUUUGUGUGUGGAUACAUACACAUAUGUAUAUGUAUCUUCAGGAAUGAUCACACUUCAACUAAGACAAACCUUAACAAAUUAAUCUUUGCUUUUUGGAGAGUCCUCUCGCAUAUGCAAUAUUCAAAAAAAACGGGAUCUUGUCUUUGCUGCUCAAAGAUCCUAAAUAGCACCACUUUCUCUUGCUUGUCAAAAGCACGCUGCAUGAAAAUAACGAGUCAAAUGAGACCCAGGCAGUUUUCUUCGUAGGGCACAAUGCACUUUUAAAACUUCAGACAUCAGUGUGGAGAUAGCUGUCUCCACGUUAUCACGUAGACAGCUUUGACUAUAGCCAAGAUGUCCAGCACCCCAAUUGACUACAUAACAAAACAGCUGUGCAAAAAGCGAUAGACCCCCAACUUUGCAUUUGUUCAAUCAGUCCAGCUCCAGUGUUAGUAAAGUGAAAAAGAAGCAGCAAGGUUGGGAAAUAGGACAUGUUCUAUAGUUUAUUUUUAAAGGAAAUGGUGGGUUAAAAAAAAUCAGUAAGUUUUAAAGCUGCAAAAUCCUUUCUCCCACUGAAUAGUAUCUAAUUGCACAAAACACCUCACUGAAAUCAAAGUCUAUUGCAACUGUUACAGCUACCCUUAUCUAAGGAGUUGGGUGUCCUGAAUAUAAGGUCUAUAACAAUUCAGCAUAACGUCUCAGUCACCUCUCUGAGAUGACCUCUCAUCGCAAAAUUGACUGCUUUGGUUUUGGGAGUAUUUUUAGUUCCAAACUUUCUUGCUCACCCUUCCUCCUGCUCUUUGUUCCCCACUGUCCCCAGAAGCAAAUACAAAGGGAAUAGGGGUUGACAUGACGAGCAGUCCCUUCAGUUUAGCUGAUGCUUGGAAGGCACCAUUAGAAAACAGGACUCCCAGCUGUCCCCCUCUGACCUAGGCUCCCACCCCUGUUUUUUUUAACAACAACAGAGACACUUAUCAUCACACCCCUUGUCAACAUUUUCUGUUUACUCCAUCCAGAAAACGCUUCUAACACUAGGAAAUACAGCACUUUUUAAAGUAUAAUUAGUUUUCCAAAGAUCAUAAACAAAGUACCUGUUUGUCAAAGUCACCAUUAGAUAGGAAAUUCCAUAGUACAGCAAGCCAUUGGUCUAUCUUACUCUGCAGGUGGCUUCUAAUGGCAGCCAAAUACUUCUGAAAAGGAGAUAUGAAACUAUACAAUCCAUGAUUUUUUACUAAGAUGCCCAUUAAAGAAACUUGCUUCUUCUACUGUCAGCUUUUAUCUCCAAAUCUGAAAGCAUAUAUCCCUAAUUUUUAAACUUUUCUAGAAAUAACUGGAAAUAUUUUGAUAGUUAUAUAAAUAGCUCAUUUCUUUUUAAUCUGGGGUCAUAGCCACAACAACAUCUUGCAGAAUGAAGUUCUACAUGGUUGAUACGAAUUGCUUUAAAAACCACGCUCUCAGUAGUUUUUAAAAGCUACAAUUUCUCUCGUUUCCCUAUAAAGAGGAGCUCUUGAUUUAUCUUUUUUAGACUUUUAACAAUUUUAUAUACUGCUAUCAAAUCCAUUUUCCUGCAGACUAAUCAAUCAACCCCCAAAUUUUGUAAUCACCACCUGAAAUGGAGAAAAUUUGCUUUCCAAUUAGAAACGAUCUAAUUGCAGAAACGAUCUAACAUCUAAUCUAACAAUCUGUCUAGAAACAAUCUAACAAUUUUUGUUGCGUCUAGUUACAGGAUUUUAAUGUUAUUCAAUACAGAGAAGGAUAAGAUCAAGGAUCAAUUUACAUAAUUACAUUAUGUUUUAAGGAUUGAUCUCUGCACCAUUUUUCAUGUGUCCUAAUACUCAGUUUGCUUUUUCACUCAUUGCUGUGCACCGAGGAAAUAAUCCUCAGUAAACAGAGCCUCAGAAUGAGGCUCUGGGCUCUUGCUGAAUGGACAUUUACUUUAAUAUCUAGUGGUAGGUAUAAGCAGUUCAGACUAUUUUUUCCAGCUGUUGGCUGACAAAAGCAGCCCUACAUUUUAUGAUAACUUGCAAACAAUCAGGGGUUGUAUGAUUCAUCUUUAAAGGAAAGUAUCACAUAAAAAAAACGAGUAUGUAUAUGUGGUUGUAUAUUUGCCAUCAGGUUUCAAACAUCUUUUUUUAAGAGCAGUCAGAAUAUCUCAAUGUUUAAAUAUAAAGUAAUGCUACCACAUAAACUGAAUACUCCGGGAACCAGGCAAGCUUUAAACAAGAAGCACAAAAGCACACAGAAUUUCAUACAGCAAUUUGUAACUAAUUUCUAAGGCAUAAAAAAGUAACUUCUAGCUUCCUUUAGUAUGGAGUGCUGUCCACUUUGGAAUAGUUAACACAAAUGUUUACCUGGUAUACUAACCAGGACAUGGCAUUCAAGUAAGAUCUUAAAUUUAAAGUAAGAAGCAGCACAGUAAUAGCAGUUGUAGUGUAACAGCCCUCCUCUUAAGCUGUACUGUUGGAAAGUUACAGUAAUGGUACUACCACAUUACAGCGUGACAGUAACUGAAGCCUAGCACUGAGGAUUUAAUUUUACUUCAUCGUGGGCUUAUCACUAUAGACUGAACAACAGAUGCACUACCUAUCUCUCAUCUGUGUUUGCUUCAGCACAGACUUAGUGUAAGAAUAUGAUUCAUAGUAUGCAUCUUUUUUGCCAAAUCACAUGGAACAAACACAGAAUUUAAAAUCUAUACUAUAAAGAACAGGAAAAAGGCUUGGCCAGAAAACUCUUCCCACUGUAGGGAAAUGAAGUGCACGUGCUAUUCUCAGCAAAUGUAUGAUAUCCUCAUUUACUUUUCACUUGAUGUGGUCAAUGAAUGUGGAAAGAAUGCUUGGGAAAGGGAAAAAGAAAAAAAUGCUUCAAAUAGCCAUUUGAAAAUGGACAAAAAUAUGUUUUUAAACAUUAUUAUUUUAUCUGAAGAAUACUUCAAAAGAUUCUAUGUUUGCACUCCAUUUACUCCCUUUAGCUGGAUUACUGCUAUACUUCCUGCUCCUUGCUGCCGUGGUUGAAACUUUGUAACAGCAACUGUAGAUGUAUAAUGGUAAAGAUAUUCUGCUCGGUUGAGACAAAACAAUAAUAAUUAAAUACCAGUAGGAUUUCAGAGUAUAUUAAAUAGCAUUAAAUUGUUCCUUUUACAGCUAGUUGAAAUAUUUACACAAAAAUAAGGACAGAAUAUAGGUCUAUAUCAUGCUGGUCUCUCGUUAUCUUUUCACUAUUUAUUAUUUCAAAAAAUCGAGAUGAUCAGAAGCUCAUGAAAACAUUCCUGAUGACCCUCUUGGGAAGGCAACCCCUGCUGGCAGUAC